ACUUCCGGUGGUUCACAACUACCCGUAACUCCAGCUCCAAGGGAUCUCUGACGCCCUCCGCUCACCUCCUCUGAUAUCUGCAUGCACAUAGAUUAAAGGGCAGCAUUAGCUCACACUAAAGGAUACAGAAGAACAAGAGUGACAGAGCAAGAGAAAGAUGUAGCUACUGGAACACAUGAAGAGGCAGGUCCUACAGAUCCAAAGAGGAGAGAUCAUCAUGGCACAGGGGAACAACAGAAGACCAGAGAGGAGUCCCUGUGAAGAUCCAGUACUGAUGGUGUAGUGGCCUUGAACCAGACAAGUGACUCAUUCAUUGCAAUGAACAUUCACAAGUACAGAUGUGUGGACAAAAGGGAGCGGGGGAACAGGAUGAUCUUGCCAAUACCACCUACCCAAGGAACUGAAUUUACAAAGUGAAUCCCCUCCAGCCACCAUGGGCUGUAGCCACUGCCAACUUUAUAAUUGAAGGGAAGAGCAAACGCCGAUGCCGAAGCUUCCACUAACCGUCUUCCCCAGACCGUCUACCCUACUCACUAAGGGGUCAUGACCACGUAGUCAAACAACCAAGGUCAGGGGGGGUAGAAAACAGAUGGGGACCAAUGUCUUGCAGAUCCCACACCUUCUUUUAAAAAUCUGUUUCAAAAAAAAUAGGU
rnacentral:lncRNA from 1 species